rnacentral:lncRNA from 1 species
AGGCCGGUGCCGGCGUCAGCGCUGGGCUCUCUGACUGAGGGAAGGAGCGGCGAGUCCGGAGUCGGAGAUGCCUAAUUCAGCCGGGAGCCGCGGGCCGGAGCUGGCUGAAGGUCCGCGGGCGGGCGGUGGGGCUGUGGCGCGGGCAGGCGGCCCUCCCUCCCCGGCUCUAGCCGGAGCUCAGCCCCAGGGACAUGUCGACUGCCUCAGGCGGAAACCCGCUCUGGGGGAGGGGAAAGCCGGCUCGGUCCUCCCCUUACAGGGGGAACCACCCCUGCGGGCGGGCGGCGACGGCGGUCUCGGCCUCCCCUCGCGGCUUCUCUCAGAGAGGGGCGGCGGCGGCAGACCGCUGGCACGGGACCGGAGGCGCCCCGGCUGUGUGAGGUAGCGGUGGUGGCUUCUCCGGCUCCUCCUCGGUGCGCCCAAUUCCUAAACCCCGAAGAAACUGAAAUUCAAACUGCUGAAGCGGCGGCUGCAGCUCCCUCCGCUGGGCCAAGAUGGGGCUGAAAUGGCCGCGCCAGGGAUGCUGGGAGGAGCAGCAGCCCCGCUGCCGCCGCCGCUGCCGACUAAAAUGCCGCCGCUGCCGCAGCCACCGCCAGCGCCGCAGCCGCCGCCGUUCCGUGACGCACCGGCGUCGUGACGUCACCGCUCCGCCCCCUCCGGUUUCCUGCAGUUUCGCGUGGAACCUGGGGUGGGGGGCAAUGGGCGGGGCUAAAGGUUAAAAAAGGGAGCGGUUUCUUUAUUUAAAAUUUUUAAAAUUUAAAUUUUGUGUUGUAGGUUCUUUAAGCAUUGACGAGCUAAAGACCAUUUUAAAUUCUAAGCCUAGGGAAGCUUACAAUGGAACUAAUCAGAUGUUUUUAUGUCGGUUUGUUCCGAGACAGUGGAAGACUGGAGGUCAUGUGCUUGUGUCUAAUGUUUAGCAAAAUCUUAGUGAAACGAGGGCGAUAGGAAUGGGGGCUGGGGAAGACUUAGAUGGGAUAAAAAGAGGUGCGGCUGGAAGAACUAAAUCACUUUAAAACUUCUGAAAAUAAAUGUUGACCAUUGUAGUCAGAGGAGUAAAAUGUUCAGAGAAAUGGGGAUGAUUAAACAAGAACGGCAAGCCAGAUUGAGUCAGAAAAUUAUCUUCCUGCCAGAAAUUCUGUCUCCCACAACGGCAUCAGGGGGUGGUUACUUGCCCAGGGUGUAGUCAGUUUUUAAAAAGCUUAAGGGUUACCAACAUAUUCCUAAAUUUCCUGAAUUUGCUGUGAUUCCAGGAUUCAUUUAAACUCUUGAGACUGUUUUACUUUCGGCACGAAAUCAGCUCAUGGGCUUUAUAAAUGUAGAACCUACUGCAUUAUAGUUCUUCUUUUUGUUUAUUCUAAAACUGUUAGUAGCAGCCAGCGUAUUAUAUGAUUUGGAUUGGGCCAUGAACAACCGUAACGAGUGAUAAAGCACCCUUUCCUGUUCCAAUGCAAAGAACAACUAUGAAAAGAAAGUACUGGCAAAUUUAUCAUCUUGUAGUUAGUUCCUGGCCAAAGAAAAUGGUAAGGCCAUUCUUUUAAGCAGUUAAAAAAAAAUGGGGAUGGGCUCUUAAACUUUGGCAUGCUAAGGCCAUUCUUUUAAGCAGUUUAAAAAAAUGGGGAUGGGCUCCUAAACUUUGACAUACUAAAGCAGUCGUCAUUUAGGUAAAAUCUAAGUCUUAAUGGAAAUCGUGAUUUCAUAUCUACUGCAGCGUUAGCAAUCACAUAAUGAUAACUUAAAUCAGUAAAUCGUUGAACUCGGUUCUCUAAUCUUUGAAGAAUAGAAAUACUUUUUAUCCCAAAAGAUGUUUUGAGAAUUAAAUUUGCAGAGAAUUUUUUAGGUCUUUAGUUGUAAUUUAUAGAGCUAGGUCUUUUAACUUUAGUGGAAACCAUGCCCUCCAAACCCAAGUGACUGGAGUCAGAAUGUGAAAUAAGACGACAUAAAAUCCCUAUUUCUUAAGGGGCUGGGCGAAAGUAAUGGAACAAAAUGUAACGUUAUGCUAUUGUGGCAGAGAUAGCUAAUGGAAUGUUUCAUUUCUAAGUCUGUAAUUUCAGUAAUUGUUAGAGGCAGUUUUCCAUCAAUAAGUUAGAUCAAAUGGUUAAACCCAAUAUGAAUUUAUAAAAGCUUAAUUUAAUUUUGGAUUGAUUUACCAGAUGUUUAAGGUGGUUAUAAUGGGUAGUGUUGAUGGUGGUGCUUUUGGAAAAAUGAGUAUUAUAUGCCUGCUCAUCCCUUUACAUUAUCUUAUCAUAUAAACUUCUUGAUUACUCGUUAUGAUACUCUUAAAUCGUACAUUUAGAGGAAAAAUCUUAAAGUAAUCUGUAAGACCAUUUCUCCUUAAAAUGAUAUAUUAUGAGAUGAAAGGAAAGAUAAAGAUAAUUUAGAAGAGAUCCAGAAGUGGACUAAAUUUCUGGUAAGGAGGGGGCUAAAGAUGUUAAAAGACAUCUUAGGAAAAGCAUAUGAUUUAUAACUUUUAAAAGUGUCAUUUAGAUGGUUAAGGAUUUGUGUUUAAUAGUUCUCUUGAAAAUAUUGUUUUCCAAAAGUUUAAAAGCCCUAGCUACUUUUAUACAUUUGCCCUUAAAAAAUGUACAGAAUUUAUUACAUCAAACUGCUACAAAGAAAUAAGAAUUCUGAUUUUUGCAAGUAAGUUGGAAAUCAACGUAGAGGACAAAAAGUGGCAUAGCUAUAUCUAAACAAAAAAGUAUGUAAUUCAAAAGUUGGUCCACAAAGAAUUGAAAGCCUUUCAAUAACUAAUUUAAAUGAUAGAAAGCAGUAUGUAUAUGCAAGUACAUAUGCUCCCUGUAUAGAGAGUGGUUAGUAAGUAAGAUGGUAGCCUAACUCACUGGAAUAAAGAGAUCCUUGGAGUCCCAAACCUCAAGACUAGGAGUCUUAAUGCAGUUACCAGGCUGCAUGCCUGUACCCAGAGACCAUACUAGAGGCUGUGGGAAUCCUCGAUUACUGCUCUUAGAGCCCCCAACUUGACUGUUUCUUCUGUACCUGGUACUUUUUUCAAAUAUUUCAAAUUGCAGUGAUGCAUGGGAGAUACAUUUAGAAAACAUAAUGCAGGGGAAUAAAAGCAGUUAAAAACUAAGGACAGUUUCUACUGAUGAAAAUAAAAAACUGCUACAGCAACAUCUUUUCAUCAUCUGUAAACAUCAUACCCCCAAAUUUUCCUAAGUUAUUAUCUAACCUCAUCAGUAGCAGAUGGUGAAUUAUUUCAUAGAAAAUCCUGGAAUGUAAACUCUAGAUACUCAAGAAAACCUCUUUUUUUUCAAUGAAGGUAUAUUAUAUUUAAAAUAAUAAUGAUGCAUUAAACAUUAUGGGAUAAAGAAAAUACUUUCCAUAGAAAUUAAGCAAUGGCCUAGGCAAAGAGAAGUAACCCUUUAGCAUUAAUACUAUCAGUUAGACAGUGACAUUUAUUGAACAUUCCCUGUGUUGUGUAUUAAGAAUUGGACUACCUAUAUCCCAGUCAACAAUUUUUUCUGGAGUUUAGAAAUAGUUUAUGCUUAUUUUCUGUGUUUUUUAUUACCAAAUUGUUAUUAGUUUGGUGCAAAAGUAAUUGUGGUUUUUGUCACUUACAUGAUGGCAAAAACUGCAAUUACUUUUGCACCAACCUAAUAGAAAAAUACAAAAUGGAGAAUAGUUUUCAGGUUCCACAAAGCAUUUGCUGGAAAUAAAUAUCAGUUGUCUAAAUAAGUAGUACUUGAUUUAUUACUAUGAUUUUCGUAGGGUUCCAUUUCUGGAACAAUAUCAUAUUAAUAAACCCUUUCAGUGAGACCAUUGUGUGGUAUUGCCCAAAAAGGAAAAAAAAAUGUAAUGAGAAAGGACUAAGGCUAAUAAAAUUCCAUAAAUACUAUUAUAAAGAAAAGUAUAAUUUGACUGAGAUGCACAAAUGCUUACUUGAUAAUGAGGUGUUUUUAAGGAAACUUCUAUUAAAUACUCUUUUUGAGUUUAAUAUACUAUGAAACAAUGUUGUCUUUUUUUUUUUUUUAAUGAAGAUUUCCUUGACUUCCAAAGACCUUUGAUGUUCAAGCAAAAUGUAGCAAUUUGGUAAAAGUAAAGGGUGCAUUUCGAACUGAAAUAAACAUAAUGUCCUAUUAAGACCUGUAUUAUAUUUUAUGGAAUUUAACUUAGAAUGUAAGAUAUUAGCUCUGCGGUUUUACAAGCUUGUUUAAAUUCUGCAAUGUAGGGCAACAGAAAAUCCAAACAAAAUCCAUUAAUGACUAUAUUACUUCUUUAUUUUUCUUUUUAAAUAUUAUAUGUGGCCAGUCAGGAUGAAGUUUUUUUUAAACUACAUUUCCUAGUUGGACAGAUCAAGAGUAAGCUCCAGUUUUGCUAUAAUCUCGUUUUGUGAUUGCUGACAAGUCUAUUACUCCCUCAGUUCCCCUAUCACUAAAAAGAAAUAACAUUGUGGUAAAGAGGUGUUAAACUACCAAAUCCACUGAAAAAGUAUGGAAAAAGGUCACAGAUGUGGCAGCUUUGGCAUCUUCAGAAGAAAAGAUAGCAACUCAAUGUGAUACUAUUGGCAAUACCAUUUGUUAAUUGAAAAAAGAAGAAGAAAGCAGUUACUAGACAUCCAUGAUUUUAUGGAGAAGCCAUAUUCUGUCAUAGAUGAGCUAUUUACAGACAUUCAAUGGCACAUUCUUUGACAAAGUGAAUCAUCACUGUCUAGUCUUUCUUGUAUAUGAAUUUGAAGUAUUGAUUAAAGUUGUAGCAUACCUGUAAUUUUAAACUGUAAAACUCUAACACUCACAAAAGAACAUUGAAAGACUGCAAAUUUCUAGACUUGGAGGUUAUAAUUCCUUCUGUAUGUUACUACUAUCAGCUUAUAAAAUUUUAAAAAAUGUGAGUGUAGAAACUUAUAUAAACUGUAUUCACACAUGAAGGAUAGCCUAAAUGCUCCGGACUGAUAAUCUGAAGGUCAUUCUCACCUGGCUGAUUGAACUACUUUUAUUCAUAGAAGCCAAAGUUUUGAAAGGUACAGAUAGAAUCUUGACUACCUUGCAUUCGCAGUUACGUUUUAAUUGCAAAAUAACAAGCUCUUUAGUCACUGGAAACAAAACACUUUUAGCAUUUAACUUUAUAAUACUUGAAAUCCUACCUUGAAAGCAUUCAUACUCAUUAAAAGCUCAACACAUGAUCCAUGUUUACAUAAGGAUUUGGGUGUUGCUUAAAAUGAUCAUGUAAUGAGCUGCUUCUCUGCAAAUUAAUAUUCACUCCCUUCCCUCAUCCUUAAUGUGGGAUCUUUGAAGGAAAAGGAAGUGACCAAACUAAAGACAUAGGGAAAUGCAAAAUCAAGGUGAAAAGUUACCCAGAGGGUUGUUUUAAUUUUGGCCAUCAACCCCCUAGUGAAUAAUGGUAACAGUAUUGUUUUGAGACCCAUUUUGUGGCAUUUACCUAUUGUUAAACUAAAUUGACUAGAUGUAAAUAUAUUUUCAUCUUCAGAUAUUUAGAAUUUCUAUCCUUCCCCAUUGUUUCUGGAUUUUGAUACUAAUCUUUUUUCUUUGCAUAUUGUAUAUAUUUACUCAACAACUAAUCUAAUUUUAGAUUUUUAGCUUAUCCACAUUUCAUUUUUGUUUAUUUCAUUGGUAUUUC